rnacentral:lncRNA from 10 species
UGGGAGGCCUCUCGCGGUAGUGGAUCCUUCCCGCGGGACCUUGCUGGGGAAUGUACGUUACAGAAAUAGGUUUGUAGGUAUGUAGCUGCAGAGGACGUUUACUUCUGUGCAAUCACUGGACUCAGUCUGUAGGAUAUGCCCUUAGAUAAACUGGCCAAAAAGUUUUUGGAAGAGUCGAACGCGGUGGCUCACGCCUGUGAUUACAGCAGCUCUGAAGGCCGUGAGGGGCGGAUCGCUUGAGGCCAGGAGUUCGAGACCGGCCUGGGCAUCAUGGCGAAACCCCGUCUCUACAAAAAAUACAGAACAUAAGCCAGGCAUGGUGCCGCGCACCUCCAGUCCCAGCUACUCGGGAGGCUGAAGCAUGAGAAUCGUUUGAACCUGGGAGGCGGUGGUUGCAGUGAGCCGAGAUCGCGCCGAUGCACUCCAUCCUGGUCGACAGAGCGAAACUCUCUCUCCAAAUAAAUAAGUAAAACGUUGGAAUAAUAAGAAUGCAGAAUGAAAAAAAUACAUAUAGAGAAAUACGGAGUAUCAAAAGGAAUUGAAUCUGCUCUGUCACCUGUGAAAGAAAUAAUUUGAUAAAUGUGAAGCACAUAAGACUCUGUUCCAGUGAAAUGCUACAUUCAAAGUGCUGUCCACCUCAGAAGAUCCCAGAGGAUGCAAUUCUGGCUGUGCUGGGAAGUGCUAAAGUUCCC